AUUGAACGCUGGCGGCAGGCCUAACACAUGCAAGUCGGACGGUAGCACAGAGAGCUUGCUCUCGGGUGACGAGUGGCGGACGGGUGGGUAAUGUCUGGGGAUCUGCCCGAUAGAGGGGGAUAACCACUGGAAACGGUGGCUAAUACCGCAUAACGUCGCAAGACCAAAGAGGGGGACCUUCGGGCCUCUCACUAUCGGAUGAACCCAGAUGGGAUUAGCUAGUAGGCGGGGUAACGGCCCACCUAGGCGACGAUCCCUAGCUGGGCUGAGAGGAGGACCAGCCACACGGGAACGGAGACACGGUCCAGACUCCUACGGGAGGCAGCAGUGGGGAAUAUUGCCCAAUGGGCGCAAGCCUGAUGCAGCCAUGCCGCGUGUAUGAAGAAGGCCUUCGGGUUGUAAAGUACUUUCAGCGGGGAGGAAGGCGAUGUGGUUAAUAACCGCGUCGAUUGACGUUACCCGCAGAAGAAGCACCGGCUAACUCCGUGCCAGCCGCCGCAGUAA
rnacentral:rRNA from 1 species